rnacentral:rRNA from 1 species
UAGGGAAUCUUCCACAAUGGGCGAAAGCCUGAUGGAGCAACGCCGCGUGUGUGAUGAAAGGUUUCGGCUCGUAAAACACUGUUGUAAGAGAAGAAUGACAUUGAGAGUAACUGUUCAAUGUGUGACGGUAUCUUACCAGAAAGGAACGGCUAAAUACGUGCCCG